UACCUGGUUGAUCCUGCCAGUAGUCAUAUGCUUGUCUCAAACCUUAAGUUGUGCAAGUGUAAGUUCAUGCCGUAAACGAAUGGUGAAACCACGAAUGGCUCAGGAACCGGACCUAAUCCUCGGGACCAUAUUCCUCACCGUGAGGAGAGUGGAUAACUGUGGCAAUUCUAGAGCUAAUACAUGCAACCGAAGCCACGAUCGCAGGUCGCACCCGGGCACUGGGCCGGAAAACGGUGUUCAGCAGCUGCCGUAUCUUCGCGCGAGGUCACUGC
rnacentral:ncRNA from 1 species